rnacentral:rRNA from 1 species
ACUACGGGGGGCAGCAGUGGGGAAUAUUGGGCAAUGGGCGCAAGCCUGACCCAGCAACGCCGCGUGAAGGAAGAAGGCUUUCGGGUUGUAAACUUCUUUUGGCAGGGACGAAGGAAGUGACGGUACAUGACGAAUAAGCCACGGCUAACUACGGGCCAGCAGCCGCGGUAAUACGUAGUGGGCAAGCGUUAUCCGGAUUUACUGGGUGUAAAGGGCGUGUAGGCGGGACUGCAAGUCAGAUGUGAAAACCACGGGCUCAACCUGUGGCCUGCAUUUGAAACGGUAGUUCUUGAGUACUGGAGAGGCAGACGGCAUUCCUAGUGUAGCGGUGAAAUGCG